AUUUCUCUGAGAUGUUUGCAAGCGGGCCAGUCCCCUGAGCCGAUAUUUCAUACCACAAGAAUGUGGCGAACUGUGACGACACAUUCACCUUGAACCAAGGGUUCAAGGGUUACAGCCUGCGGCGGCAUCUCGGAGAUUCC
rnacentral:other from 1 species